CUUGCUUCUCUUGAGAGCGGCGGACGGGUGAGUAAUGCCUAGGAAUCUGCCUGGUAGUGGGGGAUAACGUUCGGAAACGGACGCUAAUACCGCAUACGUCCUACGGGAGAAAGCAGGGGACCUUCGGGCCUUGCGCUAUCAGAUGAGCCUAGGUCGGAUUAGCUAGUUGGUGGGGUAAUGGCUCACCAAGGCUACGAUCCGUAACUGGUCUGAGAGGAUGAUCAGUCACACUGGAACUGAGACACGGUCCAGACUCCUACGGGAGGCAGCAGUGGGGAAUAUUGGACAAUGGGCGAAAGCCUGAUCCAGCCAUGCCGCGUGUGUGAAGAAGGUCUUCGGAUUGUAAAGCACUUUAAGUUGGGAGGAAGGGUUGUAGAUUAAUACUCUGCAAUUUUGACGUUACCGACAGAAUAAGCACCGGCUAACUCUGUGCCAGCAGCCGCGGUAAUACAGAGGGUGCAAGCGUUAAUCGGAAUUACUGGGCGUAAAGCGCGCGUAGGUGGUUUGUUAAGUUGGAUGUGAAAUCCCCGGGCUCAACCUGGGAACUGCAUUCAAAACUGACUGACUAGAGUAUGGUAGAGGGUGGUGGAAUUUCCUGUGUAGCGGUGAAAUGCGUAGAUAUAGGAAGGAACACCAGUGGC
rnacentral:rRNA from 1 species